UACGUAGGGGGCAAGCGUUGUCCGGAAUCAUUGGGCGUAAAGAGCGCGUAGGCGGCCCUGUAAGUCCGCUGUGAAAGUCAAGGGCUCAACCCUUGGAUGCCGGUGGAUACUGCAGGACUAGAGUCCGGAAGAGGCGAGUGGAAUUCCUGGUGUAGCGGUGAAAUGCGUAGAGAUCCGGAGGAACACCAGUGGCGAAGGCGACACGCUGGGCCGUACCUGACGCUAAAGCGCGACAGCAUGGGGAGCAAACGGG
rnacentral:rRNA from 1 species